AGUGAACGCUGGCGGUAGGCCUAACACAUGCAAGUCGAACGGCAGCACAGGAGAGCUUGCUCUCUGGGUGGCGAGUGGCGGACGGGUGAGGAAUACAUCGGAAUCUACUUUUUCGUGGGGGAUAACGUAGGGAAACUUACGCUAAUACCGCAUACGACCUACGGGUGAAAGCCGGGGACCUUCGGCCCUUGCGCGAUUGAAUGAGCCGAUGUCGGAUUAGCUAGCUGGCGGGGUAAAGGCCAACCAAGGCGACGAUCCGUAGCUGGUCUGAGAGGAUGAUCAGCCACACUGGAACUGAGACACGGUCCAGACUCCUACGGGAGGCAGCAGUGGGGAAUAUUGGACAAUGGGCGCAAGCCUGAUCCAGCCAUACCGCGGGGGUGAAGAAGGCCUUCGGGUUGUAAAGCCCUUUUGUUGGGAAAGAAAUCCAGCUGGCUAAUACCCGGUUGGGAUGACGGUACCCAAAGAAUAAGCACCGGCUAACUUCGUGCCAGCCGCCGCCGUAA
rnacentral:rRNA from 1 species